AUACGGAGGAUGCAAGCGUUAUCCGGAUUUAUUGGGUUUAAAGGGUGCGUAGGCUGUUCGGAAAGUCAGGGGUGAAAGCCCGGCGCCUAACGCCGGAACUGCCUUUGAUACUUCCGAGCUGGAAUACGGAUGCCGUGGGAGGAAUGAGUAGUGUAGCGGUGAAAUGCAUAGAUAUUACUCAGAACACCGAUUGCGAAGGCAUCUCACGAAUCCGUCAUUGACGCGGAGGCACGAAAGCGUGGGGAUCAAACAGGAUUAGAUACCCUGGUAGUCCACGCAGUAAACGAUGAUGACUAACCGUCGGCGAUACACAGUCGGUGGCCAAGCGAAAGCGAUAAGUCAUCCACCUGGGGAGUACGUUCGCAAGAAUGAAACUCAAAUGAAUUGGCGGGG
rnacentral:rRNA from 1 species